UUGACCUCGAAUCAGGCGGGACUACCCGCUGAACUUAAGCAUAUCAAUAAGCGGAGGAAAAGAAACUAACAAGGAUUCCCCUAGUAACUGCGAGUGAAGCGGGAAAAGCUCAAAUUUAAAAUCUGGCGGUCUUUGGCCGUCCGAGUUGUAGUCUGGAGAAGUGCUUUCCGCGCUGGACCGUGUACAAGUCUCCUGGAAUGGAGCGUCAUAGAGGGUGAGAAUCCCGUCUUUGACACGGACUACCAGUGCUCUGUGAUGCGCUCUCAAAGAGUCGAGUUGUUUGGGAAUGCAGCUCAAAAUGGGUGGUGAAUUCCAUCUAAAGCUAAAUAUUGGCGAGAGACCGAUAGCGAACAAGUACCGUGAGGGAAAGAUGAAAAGCACUUUGGAAAGAGAGUUAAACAGUACGUGAAAUUGUUGAAAGGGAAACGCUUGAAGUCAGUCGCGUCCGCCAGAACUCAGCCUAGCAAUCUUGCCUGGUGUACUUUCUGGUGGACGGGCCAGCAUCAAUUUCGACUGCCGGACAAGGGCUGGGGGAAUGUGGCACCUUCGGGUGUGUUAUAGCCCUCAGUCGUAUACGGUGGUUGGGAUUGAGGAAUUCAGCAUGCCUUUAUGGUCGGGGUUCAGCCCACGUUCAUGCUUAGGAUGCUGCCGUAAUGGCUUUAAACGACCCGUCUUGAAACACGGACCAAGGAGUCUAACAUGCCCGCGAGUGUUCGGGUGGAAAACCCGUGCGCGUAAUGAAAGUGAAAGUUGGGACCUCUGUUAUGGAGGGCACCGACGCCCGGACCAGACCUUCUGUGACGGAUCUGCGGUAGAGCGUGUAUGUUGGGACCCGAAAGAUGGUGAACUAUGCCUGAAUAGGGUGAAGCCAGAGGAAACUCUGGUGGAGGCUCGUAGCGAUUCUGACGUGCAAAUCGAUCGUCAAAUUUGGGUAUAGGGGCGAAAGACUAAUCGAACCAUCUAGUAGCUGGUUCCUGCNGAAGUUUCCCUCAGGAUAGCAGAAACUCAUAUCAGAUUUAUGUGGUAAAGCNAAUGAUUAGAGGCCUUGGGGUUNAAACAACCUUAACCUAUUCUCAAACUUUAAAUAUGUAAGAACAAGCCGUCACUUGAUUGGACCGCUUGGCGAUUGAGAGUUUCUAGUNNNCCAUUUUUGGUAANCAGRACUGGCRUGCHGGGDUGAACCURACGCGAGGUUAANGUGCCGGAAUUCACCGUCAUCMRGCACC
rnacentral:rRNA from 1 species